AGUGAACGCUGGCGGUAGGCCUAACACAUGCAAGUCGAACGGCAGCACAGUAAGAGCUUGCCCUUACGGGUGGCGAGUGGCGGACGGGUGAGGAAUACAUCGGAAUCUACUUUUUCGUGGGGGAUAACGUAGGGAAACUUACGCUAAUACCGCAUACGACCUACGGGUGAAAGCAGGGGAUCUUCGGACCUUGCGCGAUUGAAUGAGCCGAUGUCGGAUUAGCUAGUUGGCGGGGUAAAGGCCCACCAAGGCGACGAUCCGUAGCUGGUCUGAGAGGAUGAUCAGCCACACUGGAACUGAGACACGGUCCAGACUCCUACGGGAGGCAGCAGUGGGGAAUAUUGGACAAUGGGCGCAAGCCUGAUCCAGCCAUACCGCGUGGGUGAAGAAGGCCUUCGGGUUGUAAAGCCCUUUUGUUGGGAAAGAAAAGCAGCAGGUUAAUACCCCGCUGUUCGGACGGUACCCAAAGAAUAAGCACCGGCUAACUGCGU
rnacentral:rRNA from 1 species